rnacentral:rRNA from 1 species
GCGCGAAAGCGUGGGGAGCAAACAGGAUUAGAUACCCUGGUAGUCCACGCCCUAAACGAUGUACACUAGUUGUUGGGAUGCUAGUCAUCUCAGUAAUGCAGCUAACGCAUUAAGUGUACCGCCUGGGGAGUACGGUCGCAAGAUUAAAACUCAAAGGAAUAGACGGGGACCCGCACAAGCGGUGGAGCAUGUGGUUUAAUUCGAAGAUACGCGAAGAACCUUACCUGGGCUUGAUAUCCUAAGAACCUUAUAGAGAUAUGAGGGUGCUAGCUUGCUAGAACUUAGAGACAGGUGCUGCACGGCUGUCGUCAGCUCGUGUCGUGAGAUGUUGGGUUAAGUCCCGCAACGAGCGCAACCCACGUAUUUAGUUGCUAACGGUUCGGCCGAGCACUCUAAAUAGACUGCCUUCGUAAGGAGGAGGAAGGUGUGGACGACGUCAAGUCAUCAUGGCCCUUAUGCCCAGGGCGACACACGUGCUACAAUGGCAUAUACAAUGAGACGCAAUACCGCGAGGUGGAGCAAAUCUAUAAAAUAUGUCCCAGUUCGGAUUGUUCUCUGCAACUCGAGAGCAUGAAGCCGGAAUCGCUAGUAAUCGUAGAUCAGCCAUGCUACGGUGAAUACGUUCCCGGGUCUUGUACUCACCGCCCGUCACACCAUGGGAGUUGAUUUCACUCGAAGCCGGAAUACUAAACUAGUUACCGUCCACAGUGGAAUCAGCGACUGGGGUGAAGUCGUAACAAGGUAACCGUAGGAGAACCUGCGGUUGGAUCACCUCCUUUCUA